rnacentral:rRNA from 2 species
AAAUUGAAGAGUUUGAUCAUGGCUCAGAUUGAACGCUGGCGGCAGGCCUAACACAUGCAAGUCGAACGGUAACAGGAAGCAGCUUGCUGCUUUGCUGACGAGUGGCGGACGGGUGAGUAAUGUCUGGGAAACUGCCUGAUGGAGGGGGAUAACUACUGGAAACGGUGGCUAAUACCGCAUAACGUCGCAAGACCAAAGAGGGGGACCUUCGGGCCUCUUGCCAUCAGAUGUGCCCAGAUGGGAUUAGCUUGUUGGUGAGGUAACGGCUCACCAAGGCGACGAUCCCUAGCUGGUCUGAGAGGAUGACCAGCCACACUGGAACUGAGACACGGUCCAGACUCCUACGGGAGGCAGCAGUGGGGAAUAUUGCACAAUGGGCGCAAGCCUGAUGCAGCCAUGCCGCGUGUAUGAAGAAGGCCUUCGGGUUGUAAAGUACUUUCAGCGGGGAGGAAGGUGUUGUGGUUAAUAACCGCAGCAAUUGACGUUACCCGCAGAAGAAGCACCGGCUAACUCCGUGCCAGCAGCCGCGGUAAUACGGAGGGUGCAAGCGUUAAUCGGAAUUACUGGGCGUAAAGCGCACGCAGGCGGUCUGUCAAGUCGGAUGUGAAAUCCCCGGGCUCAACCUGGGAACUGCAUUCGAAACUGGCAGGCUUGAGUCUUGUAGAGGGGGGUAGAAUUCCAGGUGUAGCGGUGAAAUGC